CAGUUUCCAAUGCAAUUGAACGACUCGUUUGUCUAACAUUAUCAAAAUUUAAAUCUGUUUUAGAUAUUUUCUUUAAACAAUUAACUAAACUGGAAUCUGCAUGAUUUCUUUGCUCGUAUCCAAGGAGCAACUUAGACGGAGAUGCUUUCAAAGAGGAAUGGAAUGUAUUAUUAAUAACAUACUGAACUGUUCCAAGACAAUCAUGCCAACCUUGAGAUUCAUCGAUUAACUUUUGUAAGGAUGAUUUUAAAAAUCUAUUCACCCUUUCAACCAUUCCAUUUGCCCACGGAGCAGCUACAGCAACUAACCUAUGGAUACAACCAGGUAAAUCUUGUAAAUGCCUCUACCACGACAAAAAUAUGUUUAAAUCCAUGUUCGGAUUCAACAAUAGGACCAAAAUGAUCCAUAUGAAUAAUUUGAAAGGGGAAUGCAGGAUUUUCCGUUAUUUGCAUUUCACCUUCACAUGAGUUUGAUGCUGAAUUAGCCAAUAAACAUAUUAUACAAUUGUCAAUAUGAGAUCGUACACGCUUACGUAACGAAGGAAACCAAUAGUUACAUGAAAUUCCUUGUAAGGUUUUCUCCAUACCACAAUGCGCCAUUUCAUCGUGAUAAAUACGUAUCACAUUUGAAACCAUUGAUUCUGGAACAUAAAACCGAGGGUCUUUCAGUUGGCGAAAUUCUAAUUCCAUCUCAAGAGGCAAUGCGUCAAUCAGUGCAACAACACGACUUAACGCAUCAACAUGAGACAUUUUAAUUCCCGGUCGAUGUAUCACUGAAAAUGUGUAAGAUUGCAAUCUUAGAGUCCAACGUGAUAUUCGCGGAUUUAAAUGUGCUUUAGUGACUGCAUAUACUAAUGCGUGACAGUCGUUCGAAACUGUGAUAACGAGAUUCAGCAUCAUUAGUCGACUGACUAUAAUAUGCAAUUGGAGCCCAUUUGUUCGCAUCCUGUUUUUGUAAUAAAAUAGCAGCUAAAGCUAUUGAACUUGCAUCAGUGUGAAGUUGCGUUUCUGCGUUUGGAUCAUAAAUACGAAGAACAGGAUAUGAGGAUAUGGAACGUUUUUAAUGGCAUUUGUAUGUCGUGAGCUCAAUGUUAUACCAGAAGCCGAAACAAUAUAUCCUAAAUAUUCUAUGGUCUUUCGUAAAAACAAACU